rfam:Carboxydothermus hydrogenoformans Z-2901, complete genome.
CUCUGACACAGUUCUACGGUUGCCGGUCUGGCACCAACCUUUGGUCGUGGAGCUAUGAC